CCUACGGGGGGCUGCAGUGGGGAAUAUUGGACAAUGGGGGGAACCCUGAUCCAGCCAUGCCGCGUGUGUGAAGAAGGCCCUCGGGUUGUAAAGCACUUUCAGUGAGGAAGAACGCCUGGUGGUUAAUACCCAUCAGGAAAGACAUCACUCACAGAAGAAGCACCGGCUAACUCCGUGCCAGCAGCCGCGGUAAUACGGAGGGUGCGAGCGUUAAUCGGAAUUACUGGGCGUAAAGCGCGCGUAGGUGGCUUGAUAAGCCGGUUGUGAAAGCCCCGGGCUCAACCUGGGAACGGCAUCCGGAACUGUCAAGCUAGAGUGCAGAAGCGGAAGGUAGAAUUCCCGGUGUAGCGGUGAAAUGCGUAGAGAUCGGGAGGAAUACCAGUGGCGAAGGAGGCCUUCUGGACUGACGCUGACACUGAGGUGCGAAAGCGUGGGUAGCAAACAGGAUUAGAUACCCGUGUAGUC
rnacentral:rRNA from 1 species